GACGAACCGUGCGAACGUUAUUCGGAAUCACUGGGCUUAAAGCGCGUGUAGGCGGGUCGGUGCGUCGGCCGCUGAAAUCCCCCGGCUCAACCGGGGAAGGGGCGCCGAGACGACCGGCCUGGAGCGACGUAGGGGGGACUGGAACUUCCGGUGGAGCGGUGAAAUGCGUUGAGAUCGGAAGGAACGCCCGUGGCGAAAGCGAGUCCCUGGACGUCGGCUGACGCUGAGACGCGAAAGCCAGGGGAGCGAACGGG
rnacentral:rRNA from 1 species